rnacentral:rRNA from 1 species
UGGUGAGAUAAAAGCUUACCAAGGCGACGAUGGGUAGCCGGCCUUAGCGGGUGAACGGCCACACUGGAACUGAGACACGGUCCAGACUCCUACGGGAGGCAGCAGUGGGGAAUAUUGCACAAUGGAGGAAACUCUGAUGCAGCGACGCCGCGUGAGUGAUGAAGGUUUUCGGAUCGUAAAGCUCUGUCCUUGGGGAAGAUAAUGACGGUACCCAAGGAGGAAGCCCCGGCUAACUACGUGCCAGCAGCCGCGGUAAUACGUAGGGGGCGAGCGUUAUCCGGAUUUAUUGGGCGUAAAGGGUAUGUAGGCGGCCAGAUAAGUCAGGUGUUAAAGGCAACGGCUCAACCGUUGAAUGCAUCUGAAACUGUUUGGCUUGAGUACGGGAGAGGAAAGUGGAAUUCCUAGUGUAGCGGUGAAAUGCGUAGAUAUUAGGAGGAACACCAGUGGCGAAGGCGACUUUCUGGACCGAUACUGACGCUGAGAUACGAAAGUGUGGGGAGCAAACAGGAUUAGAUACCCUGGUAGUCCACACUGUAAACGAUGAGUGCUAGGUGUUGGGGGUCGAACCUCAGUGCCGCCGUUAA